UACGUAGGGUGCAAGCGUUGUCCGGAAUUAUUGGGCGUAAAGAGCUCGUAGGCGGUCUGUCGCGUCUGCUGUGAAAACUCGGGGCUUAACCCCGGGCCUGCAGUGGGUACGGGCAGACUAGAGUGCGGUAGGGGAGACUGGAAUUCCUGGUGUAGCGGUGAAAUGCGCAGAUAUCAGGAGGAACACCGGUGGCGAAGGCGGGUCUCUGGGCCGUAACUGACGCUGAGGAGCGAAAGGCGUGGGGGAGCGAAACAGG
rnacentral:rRNA from 1 species